rnacentral:lncRNA from 1 species
UUGGAUAACCGUUGGGAUGCACAAACUUCACAAAAAUCAUCAUGUUGCUAGUUAUUGGUUAAAUCCAUCUUGUAGAUUCAAUCCAUAAUAUGAAAACCACAAGUUCACCACAACUAUCCUUUUGGAUGUCAUUGAAAAUUAUGUUGCCAGAUAAAAUUAGUUGAUAAUCCUUAGGUAUUUUAGUACAAUGUUUAUGUAUUUUAAAACAUUUUAUUUAAUUUGAUUACAUG